CUGGAGAAUCCCACGGGCAGAGAAGCCUGUGCGCUGCAGUCCAGAGGGUCACAGUCUGCCGGGGCUUAGCCACUGAGCACCGGCUCUCACCCUCCUUCCCCAUCUCCUGACAGCCCAGAAUCUAAGCAGCUGAAGCACUGGGGGACACCCAGACAGAGCCCUCGCUGGACCAGGUCCUCCGGGAGCGAGAUGAUGCUAUCGCCAAGAAGCGGGCCGUGGAGGCUGAGCUGGAAACGUGCAGAGCCAAGCUGCGUGCUGUGGAGGCCCAGUUGCUGGAAGUUCUGGAGGAGAAGCUGAGACUGAGGCAGGAGGUGGAGGCGUGGGAGGAGGACAUGCAACGGCUGGUGAGGCAGCAGGUCGAGAGUCAGCUGCAGAGAGAGUCCCAGAGCGCUCCGGGAGCUCCCACGGACCCUGAAACUGCCAGGACCCCCUGGAUCCGAUUCCCCCUGAGUCAGUGGGGACGCUGGCGGUGAGAGAGCUCAGCCCAAGACCUUGGGAGGA